AUUGAACGCUGGCGGCAGGCCUAACACAUGCAAGUCGAACGAGUUGCGGACGGGUGAGUAAUGUCUGGGAAACUGCCCGAUGGCGGGGGAUAACUACUGGAAACGGUAGCUAAUACCGCAUACCAUCGGAUGUGCCCAGAUGGGAUUAGCUAGUAGUUGGGGUAACGGCUCACCUAGGCGACGAUCCCUAGCUUGUCUGAGAGGAUGACGAGCAACACGGGAACUGAGACACGGUCCAGACUCCUACGGGAGGCAGCAGUGGGGAAGAUUGAACAAUGGGCGCAAGCCUGAUGCAGCCAUGCAGCGUGUAUGAAGAAGGCCUGCGGGUUGUAAAGUACUUUCAGCGAGGAGGCGUUACUCGCAGAAGAAGCACCGGCUAACUCCGUGCCAGCAGCCGCGGUAAUUC
rnacentral:rRNA from 1 species